ACAUUAAUAUAAUCAUUCUCCUAGUAUUCAUGUUAUAGUGUUCAAAUGUGGGACUUCCAGAGUGCUAAAGGCUACUGUGCAGCCACUGUCCUUUCUGAUGAUGCAUCACUAAGGUGCUAUUGAAGGAAUGUGAAGAAUGGACAUUUGUCCAACUACAGACUAUGUUCUCCAAACCAUCUUUAGAUUAAUGGAACCCAGACAAUGGUGGAGAUGUGAAUUUCCCAGAAUAAUGUUCUAUAGUUGACCUCACCUGCCCUUAGCCAAUGGGGGAGUGAAAGAGUAAAAACCCUCUCUGGAAUAGAAAGAGUGAAAAUCAGCUCAGAGUGAGAAAGAAAAACGUAGCCCUGCAGUUAAUUAGGCUGCGUGACAGGCAUAGCUAAAGACGUUUGCAAGUCAACAGGAAAUACUGUUUCUCCCAAAGUCAUACAGCAGCUGUAAAAUGCCAUAAAGACACACUUUUUCAGUUACUACUAUUUUCUUAUCAGUGAUGACCCCAGAUCCACUUUGCUAUUCCCAUCUAUUGCUGGAGAUUUCCAACUGCUGAGCUGCCCUUGCCAUUACAUACUUAGGGCUGCAUCCACAUCCUACACACACUCUACGCUUCACUCCUGCCUAGGAUUUCACCUGCGUCUCCUGCCUCUGCACCUUCAUUCGCAAUCCACUGAGCCCGCCCCCUGCAAGGCAGGCUCCCCAUAGGCUCCGUACACAGCCCUCACAGUCCCCAUUGGUCCGUUUCUUUUCUCCUAUCCCUACUCGCUUGCUAGAGUUCUCCGCAAUCCCGUCUAAUUCUGUAAAACACUGCCCUUCCCAUCUCCCCAUUGUUCAGUCCGGUUCCACUCAGGCUCGCUCCAUCCCUGGAGAGCGGUAUUCAGCCUCUUGCUUGUGUGUCGUCUGCCUUCUAAGUACCCCUGGGAUGGUGGGGGUGUUCCUCCAGCGAUGAACUCAUCUUGAUGCUGCGGCAGUUCCUGCUGCAGCUGUGAAAAGGGUGGCCUGGCUUGGCGACGGCAUAAGUAAAAGACCCACCUGAAUUACAGAGUCAGCCACAUCUGAUGGUACUGCAAUAAUAGUUGUCUGGGAGGCACAGAGCAGCACCAGACUCCCCGCAAACUUAUGUGUCAAAAGGAAAUAGAACUCAUAGGCACCUAGUUCAUUGUCUGGAAUGUAGUGGGUGCUCAGCAGACGUUGGCUCCUUCCCCUUCCGAUUACUGUUGUAGACCUGUGUCCCAAACAGUGAGCUCCAAGGCCCCUGUCACUGGGUUGGACUCUUCCAAUGCCUUUUCUCCCUGACGUGCCUCUGACAUCCUGAUGUGGGCCAAGGCCAAGAGUGACAGCAUCCCUGCCCAGUUCUGCUCUCAUUCAUCAGGGCCAGUCUGGUUCUCAGUUGGCAAAUGGAAAUUCCUACCUACAUAAGGCUGCUCCACCAAGUCCCAGCAGUAACACUGGGCGAAGCAGAGACUGAGCACAGAAUGACGUCCUGAAUUCCCUGAUUUCACAGAGAAAUCGCAGGUUACAAAAAGCAUUCAUGCAUAUAUGUACAUUCAUGUAUGACUGAAAAAUUGUGCUCUGCACCGGAAAUUGACACAACAUUGUAAACUGACUUUAACUCAAUAAAAUAAAAAAAUUUUUUAAAGCAUUCAUGCAGAUACAUGAUUUUCAAUGAAUUUCUUUAACUUUCUAAAGAAUUACUUCACACGUACAAAAAAUUACAAGAAUACUACAGAAAAAUCUGAUAUAAUCUUUAUCCACACUCACCAGUUUCUGGCUUUUUGCCCCAGGUUGCUUUAUUUUUCUCUCUCAAUCUCUAGAUUGUUUUCUUUAACUAUUUGAGAGUCAAGUUGCAGUCAUUGACCCUUCAGUGUGAAUGAAACUUCAGUGUGAAUCUCUUUAGAAUGAAAGCAUUCACUUGUAUGACCAGAGUGCUGCUUUGAAAAUCAAAGAAAAAUGUUAAGCCUUAUUGAAGUUACAAUUCACAUACCAUACAAUUCACUUGUUAUAUGUGUACAUACAGUUGAAUGAUGAUUGAUGAAUUUAUGCAGCUAUCAUCACGAAUCAGUUUAGAACACUUCCAUCACCCCAAGUAGUUGCCGCAUGCUGGUUUGUAGUUUUCAUGGUGUUCCCAGACGCAGGCUCCCACUGAUCUAUUUGCUUUCCGUUGCUAUAGAGUUACCUCUUCUAGGAGUUUCAUGUAAAUGGAAUCGUACUGCAUCAUAUUAUACAUAUACACAUACACACACACACACAGUUGAUCCUUGAAGAAAACAUGGUUGAACUGUGCAUGUCCAUUUAUAUAGAGUUUUUUCAAUAGUAAAUACUGCAGUACUACAUGAUCCACAGUUGAUUGAAUCCUAUGUGCAGAACGAAGGGGAAUGAGGAACUGUGGAUACAGAGGGCUAACUAUAUGUUAUGCUCAGAUGCCCCUAACCCCCUAACCUCCACAUUUUUCAAGGGUCAACAGUAUGUAUACUCUUGAGUCUGGCUUCUUUCACCUAGAAAAGUAUUUUUGAGGUUCAUUUGUGGUGUUACAUAAGUAGUUCUUUCCUUUUUGU